rnacentral:tRNA from 1 species
GGUGGCUCAGUGGUAGAGUGCUUGGCUUGCAUGCAUGAAGCCCUGGGUUCGAUUCCCCAGGACCA